rnacentral:rRNA from 1 species
ACCCGCACAAGCGGUGGAUGAUGUGGAUUAAUUCGAUGCAACGCGAAAACCUUACCUACCCUUGACAUGUCUGGAACCUUGCUGAGAGGCGAGGGUGCCUUCGGGAGCCAGAACACAGGUGCUGCAUGGCUGUCGUCAGCUCGUGUCGUGAGAUGUUGGGUUAAGUCCCGCAACGAGCGCAACCCUUGUCAUUAGUUGCCAUCAUUUAGUUGGGCACUCUAAUGAGACUGCCGGUGACAAACCGGAGGAAGGUGGGGAUGACGUCAAGUCCUCAUGGCCCUUAUGGGUAGGGCUUCACACGUCAUACAAUGGUCGGUACAGAGGGUUGCCAAGCCGCGAGGUGGAGCCAAUCCCUUAAAGCCGAUCGUAGUCCGGAUCGUAGUCUGCAACUCGACUGCGUGAAGUUGGAAUCGCUAGUAAUCGUAGAUCAGCAUGCUACGGUGAAUACGUUCCCGGGCCUU